UAGAGUUUGAUUCUGGCUCAGAUUGAACGCUGGCGGCAGGCCUAACACAUGCAAGUCGAGCGGUAGAGAGAAGCUUGCUUCUCUUGAGAGCGGCGGACGGGUGAGUAAUGCCUAGGAAUCUGCCUGGUAGUGGGGGAUAACGUUCGGAAACGGACGCUAAUACCGCAUACGUCCUACGGGAGAAAGCAGGGGACCUUCGGGCCUUGCGCUAUCAGAUGAGCCUAGGUCGGAUUAGCUAGUUGGUGAGGUAAUGGCUCACCAAGGCGACGAUCCGUAACUGGUCUGAGAGGAUGAUCAGUCACACUGGAACUGAGACACGGUCCAGACUCCUACGGGAGGCAGCAGUGGGGAAUAUUGGACAAUGGGCGAAAGCCUGAUCCAGCCAUGCCGCGUGUGUGAAGAAGGUCUUCGGAUUGUAAAGCACUUUAAGUUGGGAGGAAGGGCAGUAAAUUAAUACUUUGCUGUUUUGACGUUACCGACAGAAUAAGCACCGGCUAACUCUGUGCCAGCAGCCGCG
rnacentral:rRNA from 1 species